rnacentral:rRNA from 1 species
UAGGGAAUCUUCGGCAAUGGGGGGAACCCUGACCGAGCAACGCCGCGUGAGUGAAGAAGGUUUUCGGAUCGUAAAGCUCUGUUGUUAAGGAAGAACGAGUGUGAGAAUGGAAAGUUCAUGCUGUGACGGUACUUAACCAGAAAGGGACGGCUAACUACGUUCCAGCAGCCGCGGUAAUACGUAGGUCCCGAGCGUUGUCCGGAUUUAUUGGGCGUAAAGCGAGCGCAGGCGGUUAGAAAAGUCUGAAGUGAAAGGCAGUGGCUCAACCAUUGUAGGCUUUGGAAACUGUGUAACUUGAGUGCAGAAUGGGAGAGUGGAAUUCCAUGUGUAGCGGUGAAAUGCGUAGAUAUAUGGAGGAACACCGGUGGCGAAAGCGGCUCUCUGGUCUGUAACUGACGCUGAGGCUCGAAAGCGUGGGUAGCAGACAGG